GGGCACAGAGACAGCAGUGACACAACAACUGAUCAGCUCUGUUUUCUGGGCUAGUUAGCUGGUGUGCUUGGCCACUCUGAGACUCUGGACCUAGACUUGGCUUCUUCCAAGUAUGCAAGAGAGAUGGAAGAGAGGAAGAGGUCUCUAGAGAGGAGAGAGUUGACCUGGAUCAGGCAUAGCCAAGUGGCACUUUCCAAAGCUCCAGAGAUGCUUUCAGAAACUUGGUAGGAGGGUUUUAGUAGGGAUGGGUGUGGGAAGAGUUAUGGAAUGUUAAUAAUGGCUGCCUUUUGAAGUGUGUUGGUGCUGGGAGAGCACUGCUGCUCAUGUGCAUGUUGAAGAGUUUGUCUGGGACAUCUGAAUUAUAUGGGACAAAGGUGAACAAGAUCAGGAGAAUAUGAAGAUGGCUUUUCAGUUUACUCUCCUCUGUCUACACUGAAGGCAUGCUCUCCUCAGGCUUCUCUGGAUCCCUUAUGAACAGCAAAGUUAUUCCUGUAGUGAGUACUUCUCAAAGGAACUGCUUCAGCAAAACCUCACCAGUGAGGCAUGGCAAAGGCAGAUUCAGAUCAGUGAAGAAAUUCAGCCUUGGGUGAACAGUUACUUAGAAAUACCAUCAUAAAAAUCUGCUGUAGAAAUCCUGGAGAUUAUUUUAAAAAUAAAUAAAAGUUGUAUUUACAAAUAAAAUACUUUAUCAAUAAA